rnacentral:rRNA from 1 species
UUCCGGUUGAUCCUGCCGGAACUCACUGCUAUCGGGGUGGGACUAAGGCAUGCAAGUUCGUGUCUUCAAGCUAUGGCGAAGAUACAGCGGACGGCUCAGUAACACGCAGCUAACCUGCCCUCGGGACGGGAAUAACCCCGGGAAACUGGGGCUAAUACCCGAUAAGUGAGAAGGCCUGGAAUGGUUUCUCAACUAAAAGAUGUAGAACCAUGCUUCUACCACCGCCCGAGGAUGGGGCUACGGCCGAUCAGGUAGUUGGCGAGGUAACGGCUCACCAAGCCUAUAACCGGUACGGGCCGUGAGAGCGGAAGCCCGGAGAUGGGCACUGAGACAAGGGCCCAGGCCCUACGGGGCGCAGCAGCUACGAAAACUCCACAAUGCGCGCAAGCGUGACGGGGCUACCCCGAGUGCCGUCCGCUGAGGAUGGCUUUUCUCCAGUGUGAUGAGCUGGAGGAAUAAGGGGAGGGCAAGACUGGUGUCAGCCGCCGCGGUAAUACCAGCUCCCCGAGUGGCGAGGAUGAUUAUUUGGCCUAAAGCGUCCGUAGCCUGCUCGGCAAGUCUUUCGUUAAAUCCAACGAUCUAAUCGUUGGGCUGCGGGGGAUACUGCAGGGCUAGGGGGCGGAAGAAGCCGACGGUACUCUUGGGGUAGGGGUGAAAUCCUAUAAUCCUAAGAGGACCACCAGUGGCGAAGGCGGUCGGCUAGAACGCGCCCGACGGUGAGGGACGAAAGCUGGGGGAGCGAUCCGGAUUAGAUACCCGGGUAGUCCCAGCUGUAAACGAUGCAGGCUAGGUGUUGGCGUGACUACGGGUCACGCUAGUGCCGCAGGGAAGCCGUUAAGCCUGCCGCCUGGGAAGUACGGUCGCAAGACUGAAACUUAAAGGAAUUGG